ensembl:rRNA 5S_rRNA 5S ribosomal RNA
GUCUAUGGCCGUGCUACCCUGAACAAGCCCGAUCCUAUCUGAUCUUGGAAGCUAAGCAGAGUCAAGCCUGGUUAGUAACUUGGAUGAGAGACCACCUAGGAAAACCAAGUGCCAUAGGUG